rnacentral:rRNA from 1 species
GAUGAACGCUGGCGGCGUGCCUAAUACAUGCAAGUCGAGCGAACAGACGAGGAGCUUGCUCCUCUGACGUUAGCGGCGGACGGGUGAGUAACACGUGGAUAACCUGCCUAUAAGACUGGGAUAACUUCGGGAAACCGGAGCUAAUACCGGAUAAUAUAUUGAACCGUAUGGUUCAAUAGUGAAAGACGGUUUUGCUGUCACUUAUAGAUGGAUCCGCGCCGCAUUAGCUAGUUGGUAAGGUAACGGCUUACCAAGGCAACGAUGCGUAGCCGACCUGAGAGGGUGAUCGGCCACACUGGAACUGAGACACGGUCCAGACUCCUACGGGAGGCAGCAGUAGGGAAUCUUCCGCAAUGGGCGAAAGCCUGACGGAGCAACGCCGCGUGAGUGAUGAAGGUCUUCGGAUCGUAAAACUCUGUUAUUAGGGAAGAACAAAUGUGUAAGUAACUAUGCACGUCUUGACGGUACCUAAUCAGAAAGCCACGGCUAACUACGUG